UACGAAGGGGGCUAGCGUUGCUCGGAAUUACUGGGCGUAAAGGGCGCGUAGGCGGAUGUUUAAGUCAGGGGUGAAAUCCUGGAGCUCAACUCCAGAACUGCCUUUGAUACUGAAGAUCUUGAGUUCGGGAGAGGUGAGUGGAACUGCGAGUGUAGAGGUGAAAUUCGUAGAUAUUCGCAAGAACACCAGUGGCGAAGGCGGCUCACUGGCCCGAUACUGACGCUGAGGCACGAAAGCGUGGGGAGCAAACAGG
rnacentral:rRNA from 1 species